CCUACGGGUGGCAGCAGUGAGGAAUAUUGGUCAAUGGGCGGGAGCCUGAACCAGCCAAGUCGCGUGAGGGAAGACGGUCCUACGGAUUGUAAACCUCUUUUGCCGGGGAGCAACGGGGUCCUUGCGAGGGCCCAAUGAGAGUACCCGGAGAAAAAGCAUCGGCUAACUCCGUGCCAGCAGCCGCGGUAAUACGGAGGAUGCGAGCGUUAUCCGGAUUUAUUGGGUGUAAAGGGAGCGUAGACGGCGCUGCAAGUCCGGAGUGAAAGCCCAUGGCUUAACCAUGGUACUGCUCUGGAAACUGUGGAGCUUGAGUGCGGGAGGGGCAGGCGGAAUUCCUAGUGUAGCGGUGAAAUGCGUAGAUAUUAGGAGGAACACCGGCGGCGAAGGCGGCCUGCUGGACCGUAACUGACGUUGAGGCUCGAAAGCGUGGGGAGCAAACAGGAUUAGAUACCCGAGUAGUC
rnacentral:rRNA from 1 species